CAAGUCGAGCGCUGAUUGUUGGGUAGCAAUACUCGGCAGUCGGAGCGGCGCAAGGGUGCGUAACACGUGGGCAAUCUGCCAUGAAGUUGGGGAUAACUUGCUGAAAGGCGAGCUAAUACCGGGUACGACCGUUGGGAGGCAUCUCCCGACGUUCAAAGUUGGGGACCGUAAGGCCUGACGCUUCAUGAUGAGCCCGCGGCCUAUCAAGGUAGUUGGCGGGGUAACGGCCCACCAAGCCGAAGACGGGUAGCUGGUCUGAGAGGACGACCAGCCACACUGGAACUGAGACACGGUCCAGACACCUACGGGUGGCAGCAGUCGAGAAUUUUUCACAAUGGGCGCAAGCCUGAUGGAGCGACGCCGCGUGGGGGACGAAUGGCUUCGGCCCGUAAACCCCUGUCAUUCGCGAUCAACCCUUGCGAUUUAAAAGAUGGCAAGCUGAUAGUAGCGGAAGAGGAAGGGACGGCUAACUCUGUGCCAGCAGCCGCGAU
rnacentral:rRNA from 1 species